rnacentral:lncRNA from 1 species
UGACGGGACAAGACAGUUGUGGCAUCCAAGUGAGCAAAGGUUGUAGCAGGGGCUGGAUCUGUCAAGUCAUCAGCAGGCACAUAAAUAGCUUGCACGGAUGUAAUAGAACCUUUCUUGGUGGUGGUGAUACGUUCUUGAAGACCUCCAAGAUCCGUAGCCAAAGUUGGUUGAUAACCGACAGCAGAUGGGAUACGACCAAGCAAAGCAGACACUUCUGAGUUAGCCUAUCAAUAUAACAUGCACAUAGCAUUUAGCGCCACACUCAGGUUUCAUAAAAUAAACAAAAUUUAUACAUGAUGGACACAGAGAUAAGCCAACCUGAGUAAACCUGAAAAUAUUGUCAAUAAAGAGAAGCACAUCCUGCCCCUCGGCAUCUCGGAAGUGCUCAGCCACGGUCAAACCUGUAAGUCCAACACGUGCACGAGCACCAGGGGGCUCAUUCAUUUGACCAUAUACAAGAGCACACUUGCUUUCACUCUGAAAUAGUUGAAGUCACACAAUAUUUCAGGCCAGCAACAUAAAUUAAUAGCACUGUGAGAUAAAGAGCAAAUAAUUUUGAUUAAACUAACUUGCUUCUCGCCUAGCUUGAUGACGCCACUUUCAAUCAUUUCUCGGUACAAAUCAUUACCCUCUCGAGUGCGUUCACCAACACCAGCAAAGACAGAGAAACCGCCUGAAUAACAUAGUCAAGCCACCCAACUGAUCAGCAUUGCAGUGACUUUUAUAUGAACUUUACAAAGGGCAACUCGGUGCACUAAGUUCCUGCUACACGCAGGGUCCAGAACUUUAUAUUAACUUUAUAAACAGGUAAAAAAAAUCAGUCCUAACCAUGUGCUUUUGCAACAUUGUUAAUUAGUUCCAUAAUAAGCACAGUUUUCCCCACACCAGCACCACCAAAAAGCCCAAUUUUUCCUCCUCUUUGGUAUGGAGCAAGAAGAUCAACAACCUGACCGAAAGCACAACAAUGAUAGAAUAGUCAUCAAGAUUAAGUCUAACAAAGAGCAAUACCAGAAGAACCAGUAGCACAUAUAGCAUUUCAGACAUGUGGAUAUACACCACCCAAGAAAAUAAGAACUUAUGAAAGUACCUUAAUACCAGUGACAAGAAUUUGUUGUUCAGUGGCUUGCUCGACAAAGGCAGGAGCUUCACGAUGAAUUGGUAAAAAGUGAUCGGUAGCUGUAGCCAUUUUAACAGAUUAAGAUGCAACUAUCAGAACCAUUCUUAUGGAAAAUUUAGAAUAUGGCAUAUCCAGCAGCAAUUAUGACUUACUAAUUGGGCCUCUCUCAUCAAUUGCCUCUCCAAUGACAUUGAUGAUACGGCCAAGUGUGGCUCUACCAACAGGAACCUGUUAUCACAAGAAGGGGAAACAAUCAAGUUUACAACAAAUUAAACAAGUCUCAGCUCAACUAAUCAUAAAAAAUCCGUUAUACAGGAAAACUUGGACAAGAAGGAACAGCCAAAAUGAAGGUACUAAAAAAAUUAGAAUACACCAUGGACAAUGAAGCCAAAGCUAAGAUGUCAUGCUCCAGCAUAAAUAUGAAAAGAAAAAGACAAUAUAAUGCAGGAAAAUAGAUAUAUGUUUGCAGUAUAGCAAAUUUUGCACCAUAUCGUUUCAAUUCUCUUAUCCAAUUAAAAAGGUUGUAAUUGAGUGGGAUAAAUUUCUGAUCCAUAAGUUCACAAAUAUAAUAAGUAUCUAUAAUAGCAAUGGAUGCUUCAGUUGGGAGCAGAGAGAUGUAUGUCUUCUGGAGAUGAUAAGCAAAAAUGAAUCAUUCACUCCCAAGGUAGUGAACUACUACAACUUCAAAGGUGCUAAGUUCUUUCAAAUUGUAUACUGAAUCAGGAGCAAACGUGAAUUAUGCAACGCCCUGAGUGACUCCCACUUUCAUAGUUUUUCAAACUCUCAUACAAAUCACAAGGACACAUACAAGUUUUACGCUAAAAACCUUUUCUUUCACAAUAAUUAGAAUUCUAAGGCAUUUACAUGAACAAAGCAAGGAGCAAACGGAUGUCUCUCAUUUGAUGAACAUAAGCAAGCCUAGGUACACCACACUGCCCUACUGACACACUUGCACUUCAACUGGUACCAAGUAUUUCAUACUCUUAUCAAAUAAUCGUCAAUGCAUAUGCCAUAUGCCCAUCCCAAACCUAAAUAAAGGAGUAUUCUAUUAUAGAUACUUAUUAUAUUAGUGAACUUAAUGGAUCAGAAAUUAAGUUUUUCCUUUUUAGUUGUUACCCAUGUUCUCAUCUCAGCUACCAUUUUCAUUAAUAUGCAAAUCUAAAACAAGCAUUUUGCUGUAUAAUCCUCAUAGAGGCAUAAUAUUAAAGGUGUUCCGAUGCAACAUGCCAACUGGAGCAGAAUGCACACCCAACCUUAGAAUUCCGACAUAAGUGAUUGAUCCAUUGAUUUACUCGCCCUAAACAGAUUUCAUCUAGUACACUAGAUGAUUCAACCGGUUUUCAGUUUUAAAAACUACAGAUCUCGUGCAUUAAGGAUCUAAAAGCACUUUCAAUCUACAUAUAAUAAAUAGAGCUUACACAUCGUCAAAAUCCAAAAUUUGAAUGUAACUUUAACAAAUAAUGGGAAACACAAAUCUAUUGACUUACGGUGAUAGGAGAACCAGUAUUGAGGACGCGUUGACCACGAACAAGCCCUUCAGUACCAUCCAUAGCAAUAGUCCUAACCAUAUUCUCACCCAAAUGCUGAGCCACUUCAAGAACAAGCCGGAUCUGAUUAUCCAACACUUCGAGAGCGGUUAAAAUUGGUGGCAAACCUUCAUCGAAUCUCACAUCCACGACGGCACCGAUGACCUGGCACACCUUCCCGAUCGAACCAGCGCCGGUGAACUCAUCGGUGAUUUUUCCGGACGGUUCACUGCCGGACUUCGGUGGUGUUGAUGGCUGAGAUGCGGGUGCUGCUGCAGAGGUAGCGUACUGUACGGCGCGGUUUAAGAGGAAUCCCUUAGGGGACGCGCGUGAAGAGGCGCGUGCAGCGGAUUUAGGGAUGGAGUUUCCCAAGGAUCGGGAAAUUGGACCGCCGCCACGUUGAGCCGAUUGACGGAGGAGAGAGGUGAGAAGCCUCCGAGAAGCCAUAGUGGAGGGUUUGGUUAGAGAGAGGAUGAAAGGAGUAGAGAGAGAAAGAGACUGCUAGGGUUU